rnacentral:rRNA from 1 species
GAUGAACGCUGGCGGCGUGCUUAACACAUGCAAGUCGAGCGAAGCAUUUGCAGUUGAUUUCUUCGGAAUGAUUCUGUUUAUGACUGAGCGGGCGACGGGUGAAGGUACGCGUGGGUAACCUGCCUCAUACAGGGGGAUAACAGUUAGAAAUGACUGCUAAUACCGCAUAAGCGCACAGUGCCGCAUGGCGCUGUGUGAAAAACUCCGGUGGUAUGAGAUGGACCCGCGUCUGAUUAGCUGGUUGGUGAGGUAACGGCCCACCAAGGCGACGAUCAGUAGCCGACCUGAGAGGGUGAUCGGCCACAUUGGGACUGAGACACGGCCCAA